AAUAGGAGAAUGACAAAUCAAAUUUUUCCUCUUGAUUUUUAGUUUUUUUCUUAUGAAAAAAUCAAAUCCAACUAAAAAUGUUAAAAAUCAGGAAGAAAAUUUUGAUUUGUCAUUAUUCUAUU
rnacentral:pre_miRNA from 1 species